rnacentral:lncRNA from 1 species
CUUGGCCUUGUGUUGUGCUCCUAAUGGUGUAGUGUUAGGCAGCAAACUUAAGCUGCUGGAAGUCAGUUAUUGCCUAUUUUUUUUUUUAGAUAUAUACUUAAACUGCUGCAUAUUAAUAAGGUACUAUGUGUCAGCUGAAAUACGAUAACUGUGUGUACUUUCAGGCUGAAGCAUGUGGAGGGCAAAGAACCUUCAUUUCAUUUGUAACAAAAAUGAGCUAGUUAAGGGCUGAGGAUGUUGGUUCAGCUGACUUGUGGUAAUGUUAUUCCUCGGUAGUUUGAUCUGAGCCCAUAUAAAGGUUUAGGUAAGAAAUUGCAGUUGUUCUUUCUGGUAUCAGCAUCUCUGAUUACAUGAAAACAAGUCUGACAAUACAAAGGUGUCAAAGUUUACACUGGUUAAUGGUAUUAGUCUCUCCUUUUCUCCCUUCCACUGUCUACUCAUUUAACAUGGCUGAAGAAAAUAAUUUCUUAUUUAUGGUUCAUUUUUUAUGGGCUUCUGUCCCGAACUGAUCUGGGGGAGAAAAAAGAAAAUUUCCUGCCAAGCAGAAAUUCUGAGAAAAUUUCAUUCUGGAAACAGCAAACAUAUUUCUGUGCUCCCUGGUUCCUGCAGCUUCUCAGUGGAAAUGGAAUUUGACAGCCCUUGUGAUUAUAUAAUAGCUCUCAAGAGGAAGCUGCUAACAAGCCCAUCUGAUAUUUUGUGCCAGCUGUUUUAGUGGAGGCGUGUUGGAUUAGACAGAACUCCGCCUUCUUUGACAAGAACUAUUCCGAAGAGGCUCCUAAAUAAUAUGUUAUCUCCUAUUCAGAGAAGUUAUUUUGCUGGUUACUUAAGCACAUCUGUAACUGUGCUUUUCCUCUGGGACCCCUCAAGUCAGAAUGCAUUGCAAAUGCUAAUAUAUUCAUUAAAUCUGCAAAGCAUUUGGAAAGUGACAGAGCCUGAAGAAAAAGGGAAUUCAAAAUCUGGCUCUCCAGUUUUCUCCUGGACCUAUCUGGUCUUCUGUAUCCAUGGACAAGUGGGCUGCUGCAGGAGUGGUGUACAAGCCCCACCAUUAGCCAGUCUCUCUGUACUAUGCAGCAACUUCUGCUAAGUUCCUUGUUCCGGGCUGUGGCUACAUGAUUAAACUCUCAUGCUGAUCUUAACAGUUCAGGGAUCAAUAUUUUUGAAAGAGCAGGAAGGAUUGCACUGGUGUAAAGCAGUGUGUCUGCUGCUCACUUUGCUUAAGAGAGCUGCAAGACUGAAAGAACAUUUAUGCAAGUCAGUCAGUCUUGGGGCAGUGGCAGAGUGCAGUCUGUGAAUUAUGCUGUUACACACAGACAUCUGAAGAGGAUUUUUCUCUUCUUUUGUUGGUUGUUGAAAUAUGGAUAAAAUUUCAGUACCUGCUAAAUUUUGGGCAAUAAAAGUCAUUUUUAUGAAGACA